rnacentral:tRNA from 1 species
GUGGAGCAGCUUGGUAGCUCGUCGGGCUCAUAACCCGAAGGUCGUUGGUUCAAAUCCAGAU